rnacentral:lncRNA from 1 species
GGCUCUGAUACUCCUGAUGGGUGCUAUAUGCAUAGAGAAUAUCAAUUCUCAAGAAGAUUUUGUAGAGAUGGGAAACUAGAUAUGUGGAUUAGAAACUAGAUAUGAGGGUCAUUGGUUUCCUUUUUUGUCAUCUUUUUGGAUAAUAAAGGCAUAUGUGUUUUCCCCAUUCUUGUCCUAUCUUCUGUACUUUGAAAUAUCUUGAAAAGUGAUCCUUUGAGGGUUUUCAAAAUUGCAUAACUUCCAGCACAAAUUUCUUUCUUGUAAAUCUGAUCACAUUCAACUGUUCUUCUCAACUUCAUUUUCUUAUGUACCAUUGCUACUUUUUGGUACUGAGGUGUUAAUAGUUCAAAAAUGAUAGCUUAACUGCUAUUAGUGAAGAAAAAGUAUCAUAGAAUCUCACAGUUGGAAAAGUUCUCAAAAGCAAGUUUAGACUGACUCAGGCCUAAGCAACAGUCUCCUCAAACAGUCCUCAACAAAUGCCAAUCCAACUCUUGCCUGAAAACAUCAGAGGAGAGGGGGAAGUUGAGGGCACACUACCAUCCAAGGUACUUGUUAGGCAUUUAUUUCUUUACCUGUACAAGAGGGACAAUAAUCUCACUGCAAGACAGUAAGUCACUGCCAAACCCCCAGGUGAAAGAGUGUAUGACCUGGCAGAGGGACUCAUUCAAGCUAAAAAUUUACUGGCUUAAAACCAUUGGUGACAAUAGUUCUAUCGCUCAUAACCAGGUACCUAUCUGGGUAUUCCUAAACCCAGAGGAAACUUCUGGAGAAAAGGGAGAACAUGAGGACUGUUUGACCAUAUCAGGUGUACACAUGAUGAUUCAGAACCAAUAAAUUUGUAACUGGUUGGAGUCUAUAUUCUCUAAGUUGAGUCAUAUGACCUAAGGAAUGGAAGAGAAAAUGAAAAGUAAGUUGGCAAGAAUGUCUUAGUGUGAAUCUUAGUAUUAUACCAUUGUUUUGCUUUGUCUUUCCAAAUUCUGUGGAUUUGCUAGAAAAAGGAAACAAACUUAGGUAUGUAGGACUUUUCUAUCUUUCAGGGUAACAUUAGUUUAAAAAUGGCAUGGUUUGAUCAAUU